CUAAAAUAGAAUUUCUGGUGGGACCCGCCCGAUCUCGUCUGAUCUUGGAAGCUAAGCAGGGUCGGGCCUGGUUAGUAUUUGGAUGGGAGAAUUUCUGGUGGGACAAAGCACCAGCAUUUUUUUUUU
ensembl:rRNA 5S_rRNA 5S ribosomal RNA